UACAGAGGUCUCAAGCGUUGUUCGGAUUCAUUGGGCGUAAAGCGUGCGUAGGCGGCGCGGUAAGUCGGGUGUGAAAUCUCGGAGCUUAACUCCGAAACUGCAUUCGAUACUGCCGUGCUUGAGGACUGGAGAGGAGACUGGAAUUUACGGUGUAGCGGUGAAAUGCGUAGAUAUCGUAAGGAAGACCAGUGGCGAAGGCGGGUCUCUGGACAGUUCCUGACGCUGAGGCACGAAGGCCAGGGGAGCAAACGGG
rnacentral:rRNA from 1 species